rnacentral:rRNA from 1 species
GGAAUAUUGGACAAUGGGCGAAAGCCUGAUCCAGCAAUCCCGCGUGAGUGAUGAAGGCCUUCGGGUCGUAAAGCUCUUUUAGUGAGGAAAAAGGGAAACUUGAUGGUACUCACAGAAAAAGCACCGGCUAACUCCGUGCCAGCAGCCGCGGUAAUACGGAGGGUGCAAGCGUUGCUCGGAAUCAUUGGGCGUAAAGCGCGUGUAGGCGGCCAUCUAAGUCUAAUGUGAAAUCCCGGGGCUUAACUCCGGAACUGCAUCGGAUACUGGAUGGCUAGAGGACGAGAGAGGAUGAUGGAAUUCCAGGUGUAGGGGUGAAAUCCGUAGAUAUCUGGAGGAACAUCGGUGGCGAAGGCGGUCAUCUGGCUCGUUUCUGACGCUGAGACGCGAAAGCGUGGGGAGCAAAC